AUUGUGAACACAGUGAUGGCUAAUUGUUACGAUAGUAAAUCGACUAGAUAUAUCAGUUCUUAUCAAAUCGUGAGUGAAAAAAAUCAAGGGGCAGGUGUCCAAAAUUUUUAUUCAAUAAAUCCAACUACGUUUUUUCGCAUUUUUACAAGUAUUUGCCAUUAUGAAAAAAAGUCAGGGGUUCAGAUUCCUAGCUAAAACACCUAACCAGACACUUUGUCACUCCGAAAUCGGGUUCAUAAACAUUCGAAAGUUAAAAAAUAAAAAACAACCAUGGAUAAUUGGGACGGGUGCAGUUACUGUUAUGGAUAAUUUAAUAUAUAACUGUAAGCGAUUAUAAACCAUUGGUCACGAAAAAGCGAGCG